AAUAGAUACCCAGGUAGUCCACGCUGUAAACGAUGGAUACUAGCUGUUUGGCGAAAGUUGAGUGGCUAAGCGAAAGUGAUAAGUAUCCCACCUGGGGAGUACGUUCGCAAGAAUGAAACUCAAAGGAAUUGACGGGGGCCCGCACAAGCGGUGGAGCAUGUGGUUUAAUUCGAUGAUACGCGAGGAACCUUACCAAGGCUUAAAUGUAGUUUGAUGGAUUUGGAAACAGAUUUUUCUUCGGACAAAUUACAAGGUGCUGCAUGGUUGUCGUCAGCUCGUGCCGUGAGGUGUCAGGUUAAGUCCUAUAACGAGCGCAACCCCUGUUGUUAGUUGCCAUCGAGUAAUGUCGGGAACUCUAGCAAGACUGCCGGUGCAAACCGUGAGGAAGGUGGGGAUGACGUCAAAUCAUCACGGCCCUUACGCCUUGGGCUACACACGUGCUACAAUGGCCGGUACAGAGAGCAGCCACUGCGUGAGCAGGAGCGAAUCUAUAAAGCCGGUCACAGUUCGGAUCGGAGUCUGCAAC
rnacentral:rRNA from 1 species